GUCUCCAUAGUCUAGAGGUCAGGACGCGGGCCCUUCAAGCCUGAGACACGAGUUCGAUUCUCGUUGGAGGCACCA
rnacentral:tRNA from 1 species